rnacentral:rRNA from 1 species
AUUGAACGCUGGCGGCAGGCCUAACACAUGCAAGUCGAGCGGAUGAAGGGAGCUUGCUCCUGGAUUCAGCGGCGGACGGGUGAGUAAUGCCUAGGAAUCUGCCUGGUAGUGGGGGAUAACGUCCGGAAACGGGCGCUAAUACCGCAUACGUCCUGAGGGAGAAAGUGGGGGAUCUUCGGACCUCACGCUAUCAGAUGAGCCUAGGUCGGAUUAGCUAGUUGGUGGGGUAAAGGCCUACCAAGGCGACGAUCCGUAACUGGUCUGAGAGGAUGAUCAGUCACACUGGAACUGGGACAGGGUCCAGACUCCUACGGGAGGCACCAGUGGGGAAUAUUGGACAGUGGGCGAAAGCCUGAUCCAGCAAUGCGGCGUGUGUGAAGACGGUCUUCGGAUUGUAAAGCACUUUAAGUUGGGAGAAAGGGCAGUAAGUUAAUACCUUGCUGUUUUGACGGUACCAACAGAAUAAGCACCGGCUAACUACGUG